CGAGUAGGCGGUUCGGCAAGUCCUUCGUGAAAUCCCACAGCUCAACUGUGGAAUUGCGGGGGGAAACUGCAGGACUUGAGUCCGGGAGAGGGGAGUGGAAUUCCCAGUGUAGCGGUGAAAUGCGUAGAUAUUGGGAGGAACACCGGUGGCGAAGGCGGCUCCCUGGACCGGUACUGACGCUGAGUCGCGAAAGCUAGGGGAGCAAACG
rnacentral:rRNA from 1 species